AGGUCAGUCACGUCCUGCUGAACCCUUCGACGGUCAGUCACGUCCUGCUGAACCCUUCGACGGUCAGUCACGUCCUGCUGAACCCUUCGACGGUAAGU